rnacentral:rRNA from 1 species
GAUGAACGCUAGCGGCAGGCUUAAUACAUGCAAGUCGAGGGGUAGCAAGAUUGUAGCAAUACAAUUGUUGACGACCGGCAAACGGGUGCGGAACACGUACACAACCUUCCUACAAGUGGGGAAUAGCCCAGAGAAAUUUGGAUUAACACCCCGUAACAUAGCGAUGUGGCAUCACAUUGCUAUUAUAGCUUCGGCGCUUGUUGAUGGGUGUGCGGCUGAUUAGAUAGUUGGCGGGGUAACGGCCCACCAAGUCUACGAUCAGUAGCUGAUGUGAGAGCAUGAUCAGCCAAACGGGAACUGAGACACGGGCCCGACUCCUACGGGAGGAAGCAGUGAGGAAUAUUGGUCAAUGGUCGCAAGACUGAACCAGCCAUGCCGCGUGCAGGAUGAAGCAUCUAUGGUGUGUAAACUGCUUUUGUACGGGAAGAAACACCGCUACGUGUAGCGGCUUGACGGUACCGUAAGAAUAAGGAUCGGCUAACUCCGUGCCAGCCGCCGCUGUAAAAC